rnacentral:rRNA from 1 species
AGCGAACGCUGGCGGCAGGCUUAACACAUGCAAGUCGAGCGCCUGUAGCAAUACAGGAGCGGCAGACGGGAGAGUAACACGUGGGAACAUGCCCUUCGGUUCGGAAUAACUCAGGGAAACUUGAGCUAAUACCGGAUACGUCCGUAAGGAGAAAGAUUUAUUGCCGAAGGAUUGGCCCGCGUCCGAUUAGCUAGUUGGUGAGGUAAUGGCUCACCAAGGCGACGAUCGGUAGCUGGUCUGAGAGGAUGAUCAGCCUCAUUGGGACUGAGACACGGCCCAAACUCCUACGGGAGGCAGCAGUGGGGAAUAUUGGACAAUGGGCGCAAGCCUGAUCCAGCCGUGCCGCGUGGGUGAUGAAGGCCCUAGGGUUGUAAAGCCCUUUCGGUGGGGAAGAUAAUGACGGUACCCGCAGAAGAAGCCCCGGCUAACUUCGUGC